rnacentral:lncRNA from 1 species
AGUGAGAAUCAGUGGGGGUGGAGUCCGGGACCUCUGUUUUAACAAGUUCUCCAGGUGACCCUUAUGCAUGCUAAAAUUUAGGAACCACACAUCUAGAGUAAGCAUGACACUAACUAAGACAGAAGGCAGCACCAGGAAUCUGGGAAUGUCACCAGGAUUUCAAAUAUCUGACCCAGGAACCAGAGUCUGAAGUUGGCACCAGAGAAACCACAAGGACCAACAAAAUAUGAGGCACGUAAGUGAGGCCAUCAACCACCAACUGACCAUCAAAACAUGAGUGAGCAAAGAUGACACCACAUGGAGCAGCAAUGAGCCAUUCCAGCUGAAUCCAGCCCCAAUUUAUCACCCACAGAAGUUUUUGUUUUUAUUAAGAGUGAGACAAACAGUGAUCUGAGGAUGGAACCAGGGGAUCACCAAGACUUAGGUGGAGACAGAAGAGAGGAUAGGAGCACAUAGGAGACUGUCAGCAGCUGGGAUAAUUGGAAUGGGACGUGAGAACGCUUUUGGCCAGAUGCCCUCUGGAAAUAACACUCUACCAGUUUGCUCAACUUGGAAAGCUUCAUUCCAUCCUUGAAUUGUGUGAGAAUUUCCCACUCAACAGCUGUUGGCCAACUGAGAGCUAAUUAAUCCUAGAGCAUAAAUAAUAGCUAAUCAUGGAGGUCUCUUCCUCCCAACAAUCGGGGCUCCAGAUGCUGGGCAAGUGUUCGAAAUGGCAGCUCCAAGGAUAAGGCUAAAUUGUGGUAUCUGAAAAUGUCAUCUGGGAAUUGUCUGCCUCAGAACCACAGAAAUGCUAAUUAAAAAUGCAGAUUCUUGGGCCAAAUUUCAAGUUGACAGAUUCAGUCUCCCACAUGACUCUUGUUUUCAUAACAUCUGAGAAUCACUGCAUUGUUUGGCUUUGGGAGAUUUGAGGGGCUGAGAAUUUUGUCUCUAGUUUAAAUUUUUCUAGCCCUGCUUCUAAGAAGAGGUUUCCAUUAGAUUAUAUGCUUG